rnacentral:rRNA from 1 species
AGUGAACGCUGGCGGUAUGCCUAACACAUGCAAGUCGAACGGCAGCACAGUAAGAGCUUGCUCUUACGGGUGGCGAGUGGCGGACGGGUGAGGAAUACAUCGGAAUCUACUUUUUCGUGGAGGAUAACGUAGCGAAACUUACGCUAAUACCGCAUACGACCUACGGGUGAAAGCAGGGGAUCUUCGGACCUUGCGCGAUUGAAUGAGCCGAUGUCGGAUUAGCUAGUUGGCGGGGUAAAGGCCCACCAAGGCGACGAUCCGUAGCUGGUCUGAGAGGAUGAUAGGCCACAUUGGAACUGAGACACGGUCCAGACUCCUACGGGAGGCAGCAGUCUGGAAUGUUAGACAAUGGGCGCAAGCCUGAUACAGCCAUACCGCGUGUGUGACGAAGGCCUUCGGGUUGUAAAGCCGUUUUGUUGGGAAAGAACAGCUGCCGGUUAAUACCCAGCUGUAGUGACGGUACCCAAAGAAUAAGCACCGGCUAACUACGUG